GAAAUACUCCCUCCGUCCAGAAAUAGUUGUCAUCAAAAUGGAUAAAAGAAGAUGUAUCUAGACGUAUUUUAGUUCUAGAUACAUCCAUUUUUAUCCAUUUGGAUGACAAGUAUUUUCGGACGGAGGGAGUAGAAU
rnacentral:pre_miRNA from 1 species